rnacentral:rRNA from 1 species
CCGGUUGAUCCUGCCAGAGGUUACUGCUAUCGAGAUUCGACUAAGCCAUGCGAGUUGAAUGUUCUUCGUGAACAUGGCGGACUGCUCAGUAACACGUGGACAACCUACCCUUGGGUCCGGCAUAAUCCUGGGAAACUGGGAAUAAUUCCGGAUAGGUCACCGAUGCUGGAAUGCGCGGUGGCCGAAAGCUCCGGCGCCCGAGGAUGGGUCUGCGGCCUAUCAGGGUUGUAGUGGGUGUAACGUACCUACUAGCCUACGACGGGUACGGGUUGUGAGAGCAAGAGCCCGGAGAUGGAUUCUGAGACACGAAUCCAGGCCCUACGGGGUGCAGCAGGCGCGAAAACUUUACAAUGCGGGAAACCGUGAUAAGGGGAUCUCGAGUGCCAGCAUAUAAUGUUGGCUGUCCAGAUGCCUAAAAAGCAUCUGUUAGCAAGGGCCGGGCAAGACCGGUGCCAGCCGCCGCGGUAACACCGGCGGCCCGAGUGGUAACCGCUAUUAUUGGGUCUAAAGGGUCUGUAGCCGGCCAGGUAAGUCCCUUGGGAAAUCUGGCAGCUCAACUGUCAGGCUGCUAGGGGAUACUGUUUGGCUUGGGACCGGGAGAGGUGAGAGGUACCUUGGGGGUAGGGGUGAAAUCUUGUGAUCCUCGAGGGACCACCAGUGGCGAAGGCGUCUCACCANAACGGGUCCGACGGUAAGGGACGAAAGCUAGGGGCACGAACCGGAUUAGAUACCCGGGUAGUCCUAGCCGUAAACGAUGCUCGCUAGGUGUCAGUCACGGUGCGACCGUGAUUG